rnacentral:rRNA from 1 species
AAAUUGAAGAGUUUGAUCAUGGCUCAGAUUGAACGCUGGCGGCAGGCCUAACACAUGCAAGUCGAGCGGAAACGACAUUAACAAUCCUUCGGGUGCGUUAAUGGGCGUCGAGCGGCGGACGGGUGAGUAAUGCCUAGGAAAUUGCCUUGAUGUGGGGGAUAACCAUUGGAAACGAUGGCUAAUACCGCAUGAUGCCUACGGGCCAAAGAGGGGGACCUUCGGGCCUCUCGCGUCAAGAUAUGCCUAGGUGGGAUUAGCU